rnacentral:sRNA from 1 species
CCCAACCCAAGCCCCUUCUGUCCUCCCCCUAACCCAUUACCUAAACUAUUAAAGCCCAUGAAGCCUUCUGCUGGGUUAAGCCCAUAUCCUCUAAGGCCCAGGUCUGUUUUCAAAUCUGUUUUACAAAGCCCAAAUUUUUUGAUGUUGUUAUCAUUUAGGGAGAGUAAUGGACGCUUUCCUGUGAUGGUGAUGAUGGAUUUAGCUUGGAUUAGUAGCUCUCUCUCACAAAACCUAGUUGAUAGUCUAUCUCGUUUGGUCCGUUUUCUUCAGUGUUUGAGUCUAGUCUUGAAUCGUUUGGAGCUAUUUUCUCUUUGGAAGUGUCCUAGAGUGUUGCUGCCCACACCAAGUAUCGUUAAUUUACUAUCGAGUUCCCUCCUUUUAGCACCCUCUACCUCUGUU